rnacentral:lncRNA from 1 species
AAAAAUCUAAAUAAAACUACGCAGUUCAUGUUACUAAAGAAAAUCUAAGACAAAAUAAACCCUAAUUCUAUUAUCCUUCUCCUCAUCUCAAACUCACGUCAAUUCAACCCUCUCAAAGCCUCCACCACCCACCCUUUUCUUCACGCCGCCGUUCAAGCUUUUGCUGCAGUCGUUCACUCUUUUGUUGCCGCCGUUCACUCUUUUGUUGCCGCCGUUCACUCUAUUGUUGCUGCCGUUCACACUCUUACUGCUGCAGUCCACGCCACCGCUGCUGCGAUCAUCCGCUGCUGCCGUUCAAGCCGC